CACACUCUUGCGCCAUAAACACCAUCGGUCGCCACACCCACCAUGAGCCCAGUAAGAUCGAUGGGACGGCCGUUUUACUCGGAUCUGAAUGAUCCAAAAGAAGAAGGGUUGAUGGAUCGGGUUGUGGGAUUCUUAAAAAAACUUACUGAAUCGGACGAGGAGAAAAAGAAGAAGGCGAUACUUCGUGACGCCAACAUCUGUAGGCGCUUCUCGCCUCCUAAGCAGUCCACCACGCCGUCGACAUCGACAUCGGCAUGGACCUCUUUUGGGCGCCAGUACCAGACAUCCAAGGGGCCCGAGAAAACCGCAAGUACAAAGCGCACCACGGGUCGAUGCCCCAACGACAACGCCGAGCAACAAUAAAAUGAAAGCCAAAGAUCGCAAGGCUCAGAUAUGAUAAAUCGAGUCAAGUUCUGCAUCAAUGUUUCUCAGUAAAGUUUACCGCCAUUGGGCAUGCAUGCGUCUAGUCUACUAGUUAGGAGGCUAUUCAGGUUACAAUGUAACAUUUUUACCGAGAAGAACUUCUACUCUUAAAUUAGAGUUUGUGGUAUAGAAUUUUGUCCCAUAAAUUCAAGCCAUCGGCAGGACACACUGAAAUGUGAUGAAUACAUGUAAGGUGUGUGUUUACACAAUUUA